GAUUGUAGCAGCUGAUAAAAAUGGAUGGAGAAGGGCUAGCAGUCAAGGAGAGUGUUAGCCAGCACAGAAUGUGGAGAGAUGUUCUCCCUGCAUAAUCUGCUCUCAGGAAGUGCUAGAUGCAGCAGAAAACUCCUUUUCAUACCUGUGGGGAGGGGGAAAGGUAUUAACUCUGCUCUCCUGCCUUAAGUGCAAGGUUAGAGAGAAUCAGUGCGGUUCUGUCAGGUCUUCUGGGCAGGCUUAUCAGCAAGAGCUGCAUGAAUGGAAUAUUACCCAAUUUGUCUGAUCGCUCCUAUCCAGACAUCCUUCAUGCUUUGCAAACAGCAAUGGUCAGAGGACCUCGGGAAGCAGGAGGGCCUGGAGCCCUCAGUGCUCCGUGGGGGAAAUGAGCCACCAGCAAGAUGAAAGAAUCACUUCCCUUCAAAAAGGGAAAUGGGAUGUCUGUGAGUGGUCCUGCAGGGAGAGGGGCAGGAGCUGGCUCCUCUGCAAGGCAUGGCUGGGCAACGUGCUGCAAACCUGGCCCUGGCUGUGUUAUCUGAGCAGGAUCCAGCACAUCCAGCCCUCGUUGGGAGCAAAGGGACACCCUUCUUCCCCUUGCCAGCCACGAACCCACACAGCCUGCUGCCUGCCCAAAGGAUACGGCGAUUUAGCAAGAAGCAGGAGCAAGCCUUGUCUCGUUCCCACGGCACGAAGCCACAGCACAGUGCGCACGUGUGAUGGGAGCCCGAGGGCACCAGCACGGCCAGCAGCCAAGCUGACCAGCGGACAGGGGACACGUCCAACCCACAGCUGUGCCAGACCGGUGCCAAGAGCAGUCACAGCUGCAGCAGCAAUGGCCGAGACACCCGGACCUUGCAUCCCAGCGCAGAGGGACUUUUAUCAUGGGCCAGAGGAAGCCAGGGCUGCGCAGCUCAUCAUUGCUUGGCUCGAAGCAUGGUGAAGGAGCAGCGAGUGCCAAGCACGGGAUGUGGAGAUGCAUCUUCUCAGACCAGGAUUGAGAGCAGCAAACUCUGUUCCCAUGGUUACUGAACAGCUACCCAUCAGGCCCCAUCUCACAUCACUAACUCUGCCACUUAAUUAACUGACUGCUCGUUAUUUCCCGAAAUGAACUCCUCCAUCCUCCUGCUUGCCUGAAAUUCAGCUCUCAGAUGCUCUCCACAGAGCAGCCCGUCUGGCUCUAGUGCCCUGUUUUAUUUAAACCUCAUCUGCCACUCAGCAAGGGUUGGAAAGGGCUGGAGACAAGCCCCGGGACUGCGGGAGGGCUCCAAGGGGAAGUUUUUCUUUGGGGACACCAGCCACUUCCAGCUAGGAUGAAGUAAAUAGGAUCGCAUCGGCACAGAGCUGUGUCUGAGCCCUUUUAUCGCUGAGCCCUCGGCGCCUGCCUUGCUGCAGACUUCUGCUAGCGAAAGGUCACUGGGCCCCAUCCUUCCAUUAUCUGCACAGGAAUGCGCAUUGAGGGGUCAUUCCGGAAUGAGCUGGAGGGAAGGGAAUAAUUAGCUGCGUUCAUAAAAUAUUACUCAGUAUUGGCUGAUAUUUCUGCUGCCCCCUCAAACAAACGGGCUCACACUGCACCCGGCUCAUGCGCAGCACCCUGAGCCCUCCCUCAUUGUCCCAGGCCUGGUGGGGGGAAAGUUUUCGGUUUUCUCCUCAGGGAAGGACUCCAGAGCUACCUGUGCUCUGUUUCCUAUGCCUUUGCUCUUCUGUACCCAACCUUUUCUCUAGCAGCCUCCCUCCUGGACGAGCAGCCCUUCCCGUGCGGCUGCUAGCAGCUCUCCCUGACCCUUAAUCUCCCUGCUGCUGCUGCCUCACAUUAGCAUCCCUCUCUCUGUGAGGCUGAACAAACCCACACAAAACAAGGGGCUUUAAAGAACUUGUCGAUUGAGUCAAACACUGGCACGCUCUGCCCGGCAGAUAGUUGCUUUGAGGAGCUGCUGCUUUCAGCUGCAGGCACUCACGGGGCUCAGCUGCAGGAGGUGACCAGGGUGGGACAAAGGGUUUAACUCUCAUAGUUAGCUACAGAGGAGGUCCUCUGAAGGAGAUUUGGAAGAAGCAGGGUGUUUCAGUGGGGAGUGACCCCUAAAGCCCCAGCUAAAGGACCUAUGGAAGCCAAGGGGCAGGUGCUGAAGCAGGGCGACCAGUCUGUGCUCUGGGUGUGGGGGUUGCCUCCCUCUGGGAUGGGAUGCUCCUGGCCUCUGAAGGCUGAUGGUGCACCAGGCGGCUUUUGGGGCCUUUGGUUUCGUGGGGUGAGGGAUCCUGGGGGAGAGCAGCGAGGAUGAGGACAGCAGCACUCUCAGCACCCUGUCUCCUUACCAGCUUGUCGGUGUAGGGAGAGGGCUCUCUGGCUGCCAUGUCGUAGUACGGCGGCUGCAGAGGGAGCUUCUGGAUUUCCUCCUCGUGCUUCAUGUUGUCCAGGUGAACAACCUGUAACAGGAGGGAGAAGAGGGGUGAGGGGAGUAAGGACAAUCCUGCCACAGCCUGGGACACCACAAGGUGCUGCUGUGAAGGGCAGUGCCUCUUACCUUCUCCCUGGCCAUACUAUUUGCCUCCUGUUCUCUUUAUUUCAUUCUCACAUUCCUCUUCUCAUCAUGACCACUCGUACCAUACAAAAAAAUGAGGAUGCUCAAAAGCCCUCACAGCUAAGAGCCCGUCUGAACACCAGCUCAUUCAGAAUUCAAUCCCUCCUGAAGGGAGUAAACAGGAUCCAAAUUACAGCUUUCAAUUAGUGCCAGUUUUUGAGGAUUGUGGGCAGACAAGUCCUUCCCUGCUGCCCCUCAAACUCAGGCCAUGGGCUCCUUUGCUCUUGCAGACCCCAUGCCCCAAAAUUUAGGCACUUUGGGCUCAAGUUUUCCUUGUUGGGGGAAGGGGCUUGCAGCGAGGCUGGGGAGCCGUACCUGGAUGUCUUCUGCAGUCAGGUGGCUUUUCAGCUCCUGUUUCCUCUUCGGCGGAGGGGCAGGCUUGUGGGACGGAGGCAAGUCAAUUCUGCAGGUAAAGAAGCAGCUGCUGGUUAGAGGGCAGGAGAAAGGGGUCUCAUAUGCUGGGACAGGCUGGUGUCUGCGUGCACUAAGGGUCUGACUGUGUUUGUCACCAAACUGCCGAUGCAAUCAUUGGUUCCUCUCCUGGGGCACCACAGAGCACCCAGCAGUGGUAACGGGUAAUUAGCAGGAGGCAAUAUCACACCCAUGGCAAGCUCAGGAGCUGCUCUGGAGCCCUAGCCCCUGCCCCAGGCUUUCCAUUAGGGGAUCGAACCUUUCUCCUCUGUGCCACGCAGAGGUUUUGUCCCUGACCCCCCGAUCAGGGGAUCAGCUUUUGUCCCAGGGCACAGGGCUUGGCAGCCGUUGUAAUCCCAGCCCAGAGCCUGUCUCUCUGCAUUCUGUUCGUGUGCGCAGAUGUGUCUAAUCCUGUUACAAAACUUAUUAAAACUCCAAUCCACUAAUUAGCCGGCUCCCCCUCUCCAAAAUUCACCAGAUCUGAUAGGGAUGGGCAGCUUUCCUGGGCAGCCUAACGGCUUGCAGCAUGGGACCCGAAUUUAUGGGUGAGAGAAAGUGCAAAAUGGGUCCCAGAGGCUCUGCAAAACAUGGGCUUUAUGGCUCUAAAGAAAAGAAAAGCUAUUAACUUUCUGAGGCUUUGGAGCAGACCCCACAAUAGAGGCAGCACCUCUGCAGUCCAGGGCACCGUUGUGUUUCUAUUCUCAGCUAAAGUGGCUGUUCCCUGUUCCUUCCUGGAGGGCCAUUGUGGGAAGUGGAUUGUCUGAAUGCGUCUCUGUCAUGGGGCUGAUGCUGUUGAUGCAAUUUCACCUUGUGGUGCUACUUUUUUUUUGUUUGUAUGCCUUUCUGUCUCUCCUUCCACUUUCCGCGGUUCCCUUCCCUCCCUCCCUCGCUAUCCUCCGAUGCCCUCUCUCAAAUGGGAUUAAA